rnacentral:rRNA from 1 species
GAACGCUGGCGGCGCGCCUAACACAUGCAAGUCGAACGAGCGAGAGAGAGUUUACUUUUUCGAGCGAGUGGCGAACGGGUGAGUAACGCGUGAGGAACCUGCCUCAAAGAGGGGGACAACAGUUGGAAACGACUGCUAAUACCGCAUAAGCCCACGACCCGGCAUCGGGUAGAGGGAAAAGGAGCAAUCCGCUUUGAGAUGGCCUCGCGUCCGAUUAGCUAGUUGGUGAGGUAAUGGCCCACCAAGGCGACGAUCGGUAGCCGGACUGAGAGGUUGAACGGCCACAUUGGGACUGAGACACGGCCCAGACUCCUACGGGAGGCAGCAGUGGGGAAUAUUGCACAAUGGGGGAAACCCUGAUGCAGCGACGCCGCGUGGAGGAAGAAGGUCUUCGGAUUGUAAACUCCUGUUGUUGAGGAAGAUAAUGACGGUACUCAACAAGGAAGUGACGGCUAACUACGUGCCAGCAGCCGCGGUAAAACGUAGGUCACAAGCGUUGUCCGGAAUUACUGGGUGUAAAGGGAGCGCAGGCGGGAAGACAAGUUGGAAGUGAAAUCCAUGGGCUCAACCCAUGAACUGCUUUCAAAACUGUUUUUCUUGAGUAGUGCAGAGGUAGGCGGAAUUCCCGGUGUAGCGGUGGAAUGCGUAGAUAUCGGGAGGAACACCAGUGGCGAAGGCGGCCUACUG